rnacentral:rRNA from 1 species
GAGUUUGAUCCUGGCUCAGAGUGAACGCUGGCGGCGUGCUUAACACAUGCAAGUCGAACGGUAACAGAGAGUACUUGUACUCUGUUGACGAGUGGCGCACGGGUGAGUAAUAUAUAGAUAAUGUGCCCCUUGGACCGGGAUAGCCAUUGGAAACGAUGAUUAAUACCGGAUACUCCUUCUUACCAAAAGGUAAGUUGGGAAAUGGAUUCCGCCAAGGGAUCGGUCUAUAUCCCAUCAGCUAGUUGGUAGUGUAAGAGACUACCAAGGCGAUGACGGGUAGCGGGUUUGAGAGGAUGAUCCGCCACACUGGUACUGAGACACGGACCAGACUCCUACGGGAGGCAGCAGUGAGGAAUAUUGCACAAUGGGGGAAACCCUGAUGCAGCAACGCCGCGUGGAGGAUGACGCAUUUCGGUGUGUAAACUCCUUUUAUAUGUCAAGAAAA